AUGGUGCGGUCGGCGGGCCCGAAGGAUGCGCGCAGCUGUCCCCGCAAGAGGCGCGGCGCACAGGUGCUCGGCCUCCCGCCCCUGAAGUCGCAGGGAAGCUGCCGCACCGACACGUCUGCCAGCAAGAUUCAAGUCAAAGUCGGCUCAAGACAACCCUUCCCGCCAUGCUCUACUGCCCUGUACUGCCAUGAUGCUCGCGAAUACCUCUUUCGGCAGAAAAACUUCCUUUGGGUGUGCUUCAGAAGGGAGGAAAGAGUCCUUGCUUCUGCUGGGGCUAGCCCGGAUCCCGGACCUACUAUACUGCCCUUUGCAGAUUUCAACCUGAGGACUAAAGGAAGUCCAGUGGGACAAGACCUGACACAGACCGAUUCAUUAAAGAAGCUGAAAGCUCUGUGCUCACUUCAAGGGGAAGUGUAGAACUGUGGAUUAAUGACUUGAUAGAAUAUAUAUACAGUGUUAGUGGAUGAGUUGGAAAAGGGAAUCAGUAUUUCUCCAUCUCUUAUGUUAAUCCCCAGAUCAUGUUAAUAAAUUCUGACAUAGUCGACUUUCUGGUGUGAGAAGAUAUUUCAUUUGAAAUAUGACAAGGUUUAAAAAAAUGUUCUUUAUGUAAUAUCAUCCCUUAAUUUAAUGAAGCUUUUUGGACGACCUUGUUGUUAAACUGAUUUGUCAAUUUGCCUCAUAAGAUUGUAUUUCUCUCUGUAAGAAUAACUAAAAUAUAUAGAGAUAUCACAGGUAAGUGGGGGGGAAACCCUUCAAACUUAUAUUUUGGAGAAAAAUAGUGAGCUUUUUUGAAAUUAGAGUACUGCAGUCUUCAUUUCCAGUCUUCAAGACUGUUAAAAAUAAUUUGAAUAUAUGCAUAUAUAUAUAUUUUUAAAGUAGGGAAAAAUAACUUAUUUAUUGUAAACAGAGUAUCAUUGAAUAUGCAAAUUUUUGAGCUGAUAGAAAAAAAGAAUUGCAAAUCAUCAGUUUGUCAAAGAUCAAUAUCAGCUCAAACAAACCUGAGUUGACUUUUCAAUAGGUUUCUGAAAGCUGGAGCAGUGGAAAUCGCUAAAAGGGGAGGAGCCCGCAAAGAUGCGUUCCCAGUUCAGGAUAGCAUCUCUCUGCUGAAACAAGCUUCACACGUUAGCCGGCCAUCAUUAGGUUGGUGACUUUCCUGAUACCCAGGAGAUGCUUGCUAGAGGAAUAAAUUUCUAUGUUGAAGCAUUUGACAAGCCUCAGUUCCUGAUGUCUCACACUCAAGCCUUACUUUAUAGUCACAUCUGUUAGUUUAAAGCAUUUUUAGUUUAUUGAAGAAGCCUUCACAAAGAAAAAACAGAUGAUGAAAAUCUCAUCUGUCAAAACUGUUAUUAAAACCAGUAACAGUGUGAAAUUUUGUUUAAAUUGAAAGCAUCAUUUAUUUUUAUCAAACAUUUUAUAAACAAUCACAUUUGAGAAAGAUUUUAGGGGACCUGGAGAGCCCUCAACAAGACGCAGCUCAUUAUGUCGCUUUGUUGCUCAUAGAUAGACACAGCCUGCUUUCCUUUAACUCGAGGAGAGACCACAGGGGUCGAGACAUUACCCGGAGUGGAGCUCGGCCGUCUCGAGGAGGGAGCGUGAGCAGGAAAGAGGAUGCCCCACAUGGGAACUGAAGACCUAUGUCAGAUGGCAGACAUAGGGGCCACCUUCCUUGUCCUUUCCAGAUCGAUUAAUUUGGAGCAAUGUGGCCUGUGCCUCAGGCUCUGAGAGGGCUUAGAUGAAGAAAGGAAAGGAAAGAAGAAAGGAUAUUCAUGGAAAGAAUGAGCAAGGCUUGCUUUCUUUUCUUCUGUGCAGACUGUUGAUUUCAUGCUCAGAUCUGCUCCUAAUAUCAAAGGGUGCUUUCCCAGCCAGGAGGAGUCACAGCCAACCUCAAGACAGGGAACAAGACGAGCAUCAAGUCCACUUAGUUGAAUCUUCAUUCAAUCCAUAUGUCUGGCAACAUGGAGACAAAACAUCCGACACUUCGCUCUUGUGUAGACUCGAUCUUAAAAUAUACAAAAGAUCGAGUUUCAUGUUCUGAACUGUAUCUCAUGCUUCUUUGGCUAUUUGGUGUUAGCAGCUUUGACAAAGAAGUCAUGUCUGAGGCAAAGUAGAACCGUGUCAAUCUGAACGAUUUGUUCAAGGGGUGACCUUUUUCUCUCCUUUCUCCGACAAUACUGUGCUUAAUUUUGUCACACUUAGAUAUCUCUUCCUGAGAGCCAGCAAAGGUUUGCCAGGGGGCCUGGGGCAUAGGAAUGGGGGCUUACAGAGUGGGAAGGGCCCUGCAGAUCAUCAGCUUUCUGUAUCCAUUCUUUUCUGAAGCCAACUGUUCUAAGAGUGGGUCUGGUUCUCCUUGGAUAUCACUCUAUUCUUAAGCCCUCCUUCCAUUUGUAAAAGAAAAUCUUACCUUUCACUCAUCAGAUACCUCACUGAAGAAUACAGCUCCAGGCCAUAAAGACCCCCCACCCCACCCCAUCCCCCAGCACUUUAAAGAAAAGUAUUGUUGGGAUCUUGCUGUGCUAAGUCGCUUUAGUCAUUUCUGAGUCUUUGGAACCCCAUGGACUGCAGUGCACCAGGCCGCUCUGUCCAUGGGUUUCUACAGACAAGAAUACUGGAGUGGGUUGCCAUGCCCACCCAGGGGUUGAGCCCACGACUCCUACAUCUCCGGCAUCAGCAGGCCGAUUCUCUUAGCGCCAGCCUGGAAGCCACUAAAACCAGGCCCUCACUCUCUGUGCCAGCUGCCGGUUUCCCACAUUUUCCAAGAGGUGAAAAUUUCAUGUUUACUUCCAAAAUAGCAGUAUUAAAUGUUCUGGAAAUGAACCCAGUAUUAAGUUAGUGUUGUAUUUUAGCUAAGUUAAUGUUUAUAUUUCUUGACCAUUUAUUCAGAGUUGCAGGAAAAAAAAUGUUUUCAUUAACUUUUGCCAGAGGAUUAUAUAUUGUCAACCUCUAUGUUAAACAUAAACACAAAUGUCUUGCUCACUGGUAAACUCUUUUCUGCUCAUUUAUUUUUGCCGUGUGCUUAUUACAGGAAUGGCUGGCAAGUGCCACUCUUAAGAAUAUUAACAACAGGAAUUAAUGCACCUUUUGUGAACUCUGAACCUCCUGUGGCCCCAAUCAUUUUUUAUUUUUUCUUCUGAACUCUGUAUUUUGAUGUCCUGUGAACCCAAUAUCAUUCUAGCCAUAAAUUAUAUUCAUCCAUGGAAAUAUAAGCUAAUUGGGAGAAAAACUCUAUUGUCAUUAAAAGAUGCAUUUCCAAUAAGAAGUUUAUUUGUUACAUUCAAUAAUUUUAACAUCAAAAUGUAAGAUAUAGUUACUUUAUUUGAGCAAUUGUGGCUUACUAACUGUAAUGAUAAUUCAAUCCAGAAAAAAUUUUGAGAUUUGGACCAUAAGGAAGACUGGAUGCCAAAGAAUUGAUGUUUUCAAACUGUGGUGUUGAAGAAGACUCUUGAGACUUCCUUGGAAAGCAAGGAGGUCAAACCAGUCCAGCCUAAAGGAAAUCAAUCCUGAAUAUUCAGUUGGAAGGACUGAUGCUGAAGCUGAAGCUCCAAUACUUUGGCCCCCUGAUGUGAAGAACUGACUCAUUGGAAAAGGCCCUGAUGCUGGGCAGGACUGAAGGCAGGAGGAGAAGGGGACGAUACAGGACGAGAUGGUUGGAUGGCAUCACCGACUCAACGGACAUGAGUUUGUGCAAACUCCGGGAGAUUUUGAAGAACAGGGAAGCCUGGCAAGCUGCAGUCCAUGGGGUUGCAACCGAACAGCAACAACAAUUUUUCUUUCAUGAAACAAGAACAACUUAAACUUUUCAUAUUCAUAUGAAAUAUAUAUUCGUAAAUACAUAUUCUUGUUGCAGAGAUGUAUGAGUCAAUGGUCAGUAACAGACUUUCAAGCAUCCUCAUUAAGAUACAAUUCUGUGAUAAAUUAAAUAAAAUGGAAAUAGAAGAUCAAAGUGAAAGUGACAAACUUUGCUAAAGAAGAGUUUGUUCAUACGGCGGUGGUGGUGGAUAUCAAGUGAGGACGUGGGUCAUUUAAGGGCUUGAUGGGAGCUGGAUGGCACACUUCCACCCAGGAAAUUGACCUGAGUUUAUUAAAAGAGUUUACAAAAAUAUUGGCGGUAUUAUGUGAAACCUAACCGAGGGCGAAGGGGCACAGAGGAGCCUAGUCCUAAGGGUGUAAAGUGAAGGAACAGCCACCAGUCAGCGAAAGUGACUUUAUCUCAGGAAAGAGCUGCUGUGUAGCAGCUGUGGUCUUGGGUAGAAGAUGGAGCAGACCCGUGUUCUAGAGAAGGAUGGAAACCAGGAAGAUACAAUGCCCAGACCUUACUCUUUUCCUGUUGUCCAAUCUUUUGCCAGUGCCUCCCAUUGGUCAAACCUCACACAAGUUGGGUUCUAACAAUAGACGUAAUGGCAGCCCUUAAUCUUUCAUUGUUAACGAUAUUGUGAUGUUAGCUUGAGGACGUCUAUCAUGAGAUCGAGG
ensembl:lincRNA